UACAGAGGGUGCAAGCGUUAAUCGGAAUUACUGGGCGUAAAGCGUGUGUAGGUGGUUUCCUAAGUCAGGUGUGAAAUCCCAGGGCUCAACCCUGGAACUGCAUUUGAUACGUGGGAGACUAGAGUGUGGAAGAGGAUAGUGGAAUUCCUGGUGUAGCGGUGAAAUGCGCAGAUAUCAGGAAGAACACCCGUGGCGAAAGCGGCUCUCUGGAACGGUACUGACGCUGAGACGCGAAAGCGUGGGGAGCGAACAGG
rnacentral:rRNA from 1 species